rnacentral:rRNA from 1 species
AGUGAACGCUGGCGGUGUGCCUAAUACAUGCAAGUCGAAGGAAGUGGCGCACGGGUGAGUAAUAUAUAGCUAAUCUGCCCCUUGCUGGAGGACAACAGUUAGAAAUGACUGCUAAUACUCCAUAGCAAGGGAUGAGACUAUAUCGUAUGAGCUAGUCGGUGGGGUAACGGCCUACCGAGGCUAUGACGCGUAACUGGUCUGAGAGGAUGAUCAGUCAAAUUGGAACUGAGACACGGUCCAAGCUCCUACGAGAAGCAGCAGUAGGGAAUAUUGCGCAAUGGGGGAAACCCUAGAGGAGCAACGGCGCGUGGAGGAUGACACUUUUCGGGGCGUAGACUCCUUUUAAUAGGGAAGCGGUACCUACCGAAUAAGCACCGGCUAACUCCGUGCCAGCAGCCGCGGUAAUAC